AACCAGCACCUCAAGUGGUCAGGAGGAUUAUUGGGCCUAAAGCAUCCGUAGCCGGCUCUGUAAGUUUUCGGUUAAAUCUAUGUGCUCAACAUAUAGGCUGCCGAAAAUACUGCAUAGCUAGGGAAUGGGAGAGGUAGACGGUACCCGGUAGGAAGGGGUAAAAUCCAGUCAUCCUGAGGGGACCACCUGUUGCGAAGGCGCCAUACUAGAACGGAUCCGACGGUCAGGGACGAAGCCUAGGGGCACGAACCGG
rnacentral:rRNA from 1 species